rnacentral:rRNA from 1 species
GACGAACGCUGGCGGCGUGCUUAACACAUGCAAGUCGAACGGUAAGGCCCUUCGGGGUACACGAGUGGCGAACGGGUGAGUAACACGUGGGUGAUCUGCCCUGCACUCCGGGAGAAGCCUGGGAAACUGGGUCUACUACCGGAUAGGACCACUGCCUGCAUGGGUGGUGGUGGAAAGCUUUUGCGGUGUGGGAUGGGCCCGCGGCCUAUCAGCUUGUUGGUGGGGUGAUGGCCUACCAAGGCGACGACGGGUAGCCGGCCGGAGAGGGUGACCGGCCACACUGGGACUGAGAUACGGCCCAGACUCCUACGGGAGGCAGCAGUGGGGAAUAUUGCACAAUGGGCGCAAGCCUGAUGCAGCGACGCCGCGUGAGGGAUGACGGCCUUCGGGUUGUAAACCUCUUUCAGCACCGACGAAGCGCAAGUGACGGUAGGUGCAGAAGAAGGACCGGCCAACUACGUGCCAGCCGCCGCCGUAA